GCGAGCUGUCACUUCCUGUUCAGCGCUGCUCAUCUUUCAUUCGUGGAAGACUUUAUUUACUAUUCAACGCCUUGAUUAAGAAGUGUUACAUCUGCAGUUACAUAGCUACCCCAGGAAAGACCGGUGCUCAGUCUCCAUGUUGGUUCUCCAUGACUGAGGAGCGGGUUUGCGUUGGAUACAAGUCAUAGGGAAUGCUAACUGGCUGCUGCUAACAGCUGACGAGCUUCUGGUUGUUGAUAUCAUGAAGGAAACGACAGGGACUGAAAGUAUGUAUGACGUCUGAGCGCCCCCCACCUCAGAGAUGUACCCCUCCUCGAGGAAGGACUUCAUCUCUCUGACCCUGUCCGACUCCUACAACAAUGGGAAGCACCGCAGACAGUCUUGUUGGAGGAAGCAGCUCGACUGUCUGAAUGCCACACUUGCUCCUUUCCUCCUGCUCAACUGCUUACUGCUACUGCUCGUCUCCUUGAGGACUUUUUACACGUCGUCUUCAUUGUUGUAUUGCAG
ensembl:lncRNA